AGUAAUGUCUGGGAAACUGCCCAAUGGAGGGGGAUAACUACUGGAAACGGUAGCUAAUACCGCAUAACGUCGCAAGACCAAAGUGGGGGACCUUCGGGCCUCACACCAUCGGAUGUGCCCAGAUGGGAUUAGCUAGUAGGUGGGGUAACGGCUCACCUAGGCGACGAUCCCUAGCUGGUCUGAGAGGAUGACCAGCCACACUGGAACUGAGACACGGUCCAGACUCCUACGGGAGGCAGCAGUGGGGAAUAUUGCACAAUGGGCGCAAGCCUGAUGCAGCCAUGCCGCGUGUAUGAAGAAGGCCUUCGGGUUGUAAAGUACUUUCAGCGGGGAGGAAGGCGAUGGGGUUAAUAACCGCGUCGAUUGACGUUACCCGCAGAAGAAGCACCGGCUAACUCCGUGCCAGCAGCCGCGGUAAUACGGAGGGUGCAAGCGUUAAUCGGAAUUACUGGGCGUAAAGCGCACGCACGCGGUCUGUCAAGUCUGGAUGUGAAAUCCCCGGGCUUAACCUGGGAACUGCAUUCGAAACUGGCAGGCUAUAGUCUUGUAUAGGGGGGUAGCAAUUCCCGGGUGUAGCGGUGAAAAUGCGUAAGAGAUUCUGGAAGGCAUACC
rnacentral:rRNA from 1 species